rnacentral:lncRNA from 1 species
GAUUUCGUGUGCAAUUUGUCUGGCAUGUGUUCUUUACCGUUUAUGUGUUUAAUAACAUCAUAAUUUCUCAUCCAUUUCCAGGAGAAAAUGUGAAAGAUGCAUGAAGCCUGUACUGUCUUGUAUUGUGUUAAAAAUCCUGGUAUCCUACUGAAUAUCUCAUCCGAAUGACAGAGUGGAUUCAUUACUAUUAUCGGCUGAAUCAUUCUAUGGGACUUGCCAGAUCACCGACCCCAUCACAGACCAAUCUGGCAAUCUCUCAUUCCAUCUUCUAGAGAACCUUGGAUAACCGAUUGGUGGUUUAGUGUGUUCUUGGGUUUCCAAUGUUGCAUGACAGACUUUAUGAGAAGUCAUGUCCAUUGAACAAAAAGGACUUAAUGACUAUACAGUAACCCUUUGGCUGCUAGCCUGCUACCCUUGAAUAUCCCCUUUUACUUCAUGAAAAUGUAAACAGGCCCUCUUGAUUUGAGGGUACUUCGCUACUUAUCAUGGACUUCAUCCAUUAGUGAAAAACCAAUGACGACCAGGAGGAAAAGAGUGUGCUGGUCGAACGGGGAACUUGCAAGCUAAGCCGGAAGUCUACUAUAUGAUUAAUCGUUCUCGUAAUAACUGUUCCUCAACUCUUCGCUCUUUUUCCGGUUUCUCCUACCAAUCCCUGUCUGCAGUCAAUUAAGGCAGUCUCCACCUGUCUUGAUUGAUACUAUGUGCGAGAUUUUAAAGCAAUUUAUCUCCCAAAUAACACAAAAGAAGUUGGUUAGAUUUGUAUUAUUUGGGUGUAAAUUGUUUUAAAACUUGUACUAAUAAUCAAUUGCCUUGUACCGGACGCUCUAUUUAUUAAAUUUUUAAUCAUUUUGGGAUAUAUUAA